GGCCCCGAGAUGAGUCAUCCCUAGAGCUUCGAGCUCUCUAAAGGGUUGUCGUAGACGACGACGUUGAUAGGCAGGGUGUGUAAGCGCUGUGAGGCGUUGAGCUAACCUGUACUAAUUGCCCGUGCGGCUUAACCAUACAACACCCAAG
rnacentral:rRNA from 1 species